GCUGGGCGUGGUGGCGCAUGCCUGUUAUCCCACCUAUUUGGGAGGCUGAGGCAUGAGAAUCUCUUGAACCCAGGAGGCGGGGGCUGCAGUGAGCCAAGACUGCGCCACUGCACUCCAGCCUGGGUGACAGAGUGAGACUCUGUCUCAA
rnacentral:SRP_RNA from 1 species